rnacentral:rRNA from 1 species
UCGGAGCUAACGCGUUAAAUCGACCGCCUGGGGAGUACGGCCGCAAGGUUAAAACUCAAAUGAAUUGACGGGGGCCCGCACAAGCGGUGGAGCAUGUGGUUUAAUUCGAUGCAACGCGAAGAACCUUACCUACUCUUGACAUCCAGAGAAUUUAGCAGAGAUGCUUUAGUGCCUUCGGGAACUCUGAGACAGGUGCUGCAUGGCUGUCGUCAGCUCGUGUUGUGAAAUGUUGGGUUAAGUCCCGCAACGAGCGCAACCCUUAUCCUUUGUUGCCAGCGAUUCGGUCGGGAACUCAAAGGAGACUGCCGGUGAUAAACCGGAGGAAGGUGGGGAUGACGUCAAGUCAUCAUGGCCCUUACGAGUAGGGCUACACACGUGCUACAAUGGCGUAUACAAAGAGAAGCGACCUCGCGAGAGCAAGCGGAACUCAUAAAGUACGUCGUAGUCCGGAUUGGAGUCUGCAACUCGACUCCAUGAAGUCGGAAUCGCUAGUAAUCGUAGAUCAGAAUGCUACGGUGAAUACGUUCCCGGGCCUUGUACACACCGCCCGUCACACCAUGGGAGUGGGUUGCAAAAGAAGUAGGUAGCUUAACCUUCGGGAGGGCGCUUACCACUUUGUGAUUCAUGA